rnacentral:rRNA from 1 species
CAACUUUCAGCAAUGGAUCUCUUGGCUCUCGCAUCGAUGAAGAACGCAGCGAAUUGCGAUAUGUAAUGUGAAUUGCAGAUCUACAGUGAAUCAUCGAAUCUUUGAACGCACAUUGCGCUCCUCGGUGUUCCGAGGAGCAUGCCUGUUUGAGUGUCAGUAA